GCUCAAAGUCACUAAUAUGAGAUACUGAUGAUAUGGGGAAGCAUUCUUUGGUGCAGAGACACAUGGCAUCCUGAAAAAAAAAAUCAAUGUUUUACUUUCUUCCUUGCUGGGUUUCAUUUCAUAACACACAGCUAUCAUUACAAGCCUCUAAAACAUACCUAUUUGGUUUUUCAUCUGUGAACAAGCUUACACUGAUUUCAAUUAAAUUCCAAAAUAGAUACUCCAGAGUCCUCCCUAGAAUUUUUAAUAUUUGGCCUUUAAUAUAAAUUUACCCUUUGCUACUGAGUCGGUAACAUAAAACCAGGAAAAGGCUUUGAGAGUUAUUAAAGCCACAGGCUGUGCAACUAUACAAGGCAUACUUGGGAGCAUAUGCUACAGAAAUACAGUCCUACAUAGAGAAGUAACAUAUUUACAGUACAUUAGAGUCCCAGCAUGAGGAAGCAGAACCUACGCUAAGACUAAGACAUUCACUCCCUUCAGCUAUACUGGCAACUUGUGGUUCCCAAUGGAAGACGAGGUUUCAUCCUGGCUGGCCAUCAGCAGCCUCUCCCAUUCAAGGGUAUCAGGAAUUCAAAACCUGUCGAAUAUUUGUGAAGGGAAAAUACUGGGCAUUCCUGUUUUGGACAAUGUUGGGGAGGUGGGAUUAAGUUAGUGAGGUCCAGAAUUCCCAGGUUAUGAGGCUAUGGCAAAAGUGCAAAUAGCAAACACAACUUUUGGUUGUGUCUGUUCAUUUGAUUACUGAACCCUGGAAAUAGUACUGAAUCCGAUGGAAAACAAUGAACGCUCCCAUUCAGAUUAUAGGCCUUUGCCAGUGUCAAAGGGGGAAAGAGCUGCUGAGUUCACCAGCACAGGGAAUUUCUCUCUGUUUCUCAUUUCUUCACUAUUAUGCCAGAACUGUAUUCAGUGAUGGAGUUCUGACAUUUGUAACAUGUAUCAUUUUGUCUUUGGGAGAAGAGAAGUAACUAAGUGAUGUUACUUUUAUUUAUUCCAUUUCAUCUAUCUUAGACCAGCAUUUAUUAAGCAUGGUACUGAGAUUACACUUGAUUUCCCCUCAGUUUUCUUUUAUUGUUUUUGCAUGUAAGCCUUGGGGAAAAUAAUAGUGCUCUAGAGAGCAAAUGACUUAAAUGAAUCAGAUGUUGUCUAGGUGUAGGUAUUGCUACAAGACCAACUUUAUUAUUAGUUGUUAUCACAGUUAUUGCAACAUGCAGCUAUCUGCAGAGUAAACUUCAAAGAGCAGGCCAUUUGCUCUGUAAUCCAAAAGGGAAGCAGUAUGGCAGAGCAGAAGCAGCAUUAAUUUUAGAAUCCUAUUUCUCUCUCCUAUUACCUGCAUAUCCAAGGGCAAGUUACUUCAACCAUCAAAGCCUUAAUUUAUAUACCUGUAAAGUAAAGCUAAUAGCUUGUUUGCUGAAGGCUUUCAACAAAUGACUGUGUAUAAGAAUUGGCACAGUUUUUGGCACACAGCAGGCACUCAUUACAUGCUAAGUGGUGUUUGUUAUUUUAGGCAUGGUUUUCUAAGAGAGCUCAGAGAUAAGACGUAGUGCAAUAAUCAGGUGUCACAUAUUAAACUGAAUUAGAGGAGGUUAAUGAUAUCUUUGCUCGUUUGAGUUCAAAGAAUGGGCAAAAUAACUUUUGGGGUUUACUGGAAUUUUUAGUCAGGUUCCCCAUAGAAAAACCCAAGUAAAGAGGUAGACAAUAAUUCUAAAAAUUUAAUGUUAGCACCAACUUGGAAUAAUUUGAAUACUAAAAUGAAGCUUCCUUUUCUUCAAAAGUCACUCCAGUGGGUUGGCUUCCCACCUCAGUCCUACGCUGUCAAACAUCUCCAACACACUCAACGCCAUUUGCCACAGUCACCCUCAAGUCUUGUUGCUUGCUUCCAAAUAGGAACCUGGAUCCAGUUCCUGUUUAGUUUCUGACAUUGGCUCCAGUUUUCAUUCCUGAUCUUCUUAUCCAUCUUCUGACGUUCUUCUCUCCCUCAAGCUCAAUGCAGUCUGCAUAUAUUUCCCCAGUCAGAUCUGCUUGACUCCGCAUGUAAGUAAAUUCAGUAAGAGCAGUAUGAUAGCAAAAUGUACUUCCCAGGCAAUUAGGAACUGGCCUAUGAGUAUCAUGUAAACUCAAUGGUAAAAAGUUUUUCAAUGAAAUGAUUUAGCUUUGCCAUCAAGGCAAAAUCAUAAAUUUAUAUCUGAAGAAUUUUUCUGAAAAAAAAAAAGGGAUAUGUAUUAAGUAAGAAAGACAUGACACAAUUUGGGGGCUACUUAAACCCUUCUAAUCCCAAAGGUCACAGGCACAUUUGCUGGGCAGUUUCCAAUCAAACAACACAAACUUGUCUCAUGUCACUGCUGACUUCAUCUAACUAUAGGUGAAUUUUUAAUGUUGAAAAAGCAGUAGGGACCUGCACUUAAUUCAUGGGGAGAUUUGCAGCCAGCAUGUAAAAUCCUGAUGUUUAAACAAAGGGGAAGAUUUAAAAAA